UUGAGGAAGAAUGAGGACUCCUUCCUUUCUGGCAGAAGAGCUUGUUUCACAGUUUUGGUUUAAUCUCCAAGAACAGGCUGUACCACAAUUCUUGAAAGACUUCCUGCCCUGGAGUCAGUCCGACUGUUCUUUUUCUGAUCAGCUAUCAUACAAGAAACAAAGUGUAUGGCUGCAGAUGAGUUACAAAGACCCUUUCUGCUGCAGCAGGAUGUUAAGAAGGUGAUGAUAUAGCAGAAUAUUUCAUGAUUAUCAGAGUCUGUGAAAACAAGGCUGAGAUACAGAACAAGUAAAAUACAAGUAAAGCAAGAAAAACCAUCCAGCAAUAUUUGACUCCAUUAAAGACUGAACACUGAACCAGCAAUUUAGUCACAGGAGUGGUAAAGGUACACCCAGAGGCUGCAAUGUCAGGAAGAGACGCAAUUUGCAUUAUUUUCUUUAUUUUCCUUAUAUCAUAAUUUUAUUUUGCUCAAGUACUUCUUUCAUGAAAGAGAAAAGGAAGCUAAUCCUUCAUAAGAGUGACCCAUUAUUGUGUGGUUGGAGAACAGAGGUCUAAACUCAGUGUGACAGAAAAUGCAUGGUCUUCUCUCAGGCACAGCUGUACUAGUAAGAUGGAAAGCCACAUGAUUAGAAUUCCAUAGAGGCCCAACAGGAACAUUGAGGUUAAAGUACAGUAAGAAUAUGCAGGUAUUAAAGUGAAAGAGAAGAUGAGCUUCUUUUAAAUUUAUAAUGACAAGAAAGGAGACAUCUAAUGCCAUGGAGUCGUGUAUAUAAAAGGUUAAUCUCGGUCCAGAAAUCCAAGUAGCAUAGUAAAAGCAAUGGCUGGUUACUUCAAGCAUUUCUGAAAUUAUGUACUUUAGAAACAUUUCAUAAUCUUCAUUUUCUUACAGCACUCAGUAGUCAAGGCAGCAAUUUUCUCUUUGUAAAAGUAGCUAAAAAUACUUCAUGGUGAACUACAGAAUAAUUAAUCACCCUGCAGGAUUUGGAGUUUUCAAAGGCCUAUUUCUGAACUGCUAAUCCAUUCCUGAAAGGGUUUCCUGUGUUUUUUCUCCCUCAUGAGCUUGGUUCUUACUACCCCAAAUCUGCUCAUAAAAAUAAUAGGACGCUUUUCCUAAUCUUGGCAUUUCCUGUUUCAAAUCCUUUUAUACCAAUACUUUUCAAUUAGCUUGCAUUUUGAAUUAUUGUUUGGCACAGAAUCUGGGUUUUUUCAGGUCAGUUUGUAUCAAUGUAAAUAGCAUUAAAUGUUCUUUUCAUUUUUUUUCCUGAAGUGUUGAAGUCAGAUAUAGAUUAAGGGUCAUUAACAUAAAUUUAUAUUUUUCUAUUGAUAUCACUGUGUGUUCACCCAGGCCUUUAGAUAUUCUUUGUUUCUAGAUUUUUGUAUUGCAAUUUUAAUUCUUCUCAGAUUUCCUAGAAGAAAGGAGUGACUAUGAUAUUGUCAUUUACUUUACUUUAUUUGGCACUUUCAACUAUGUGGGGGCUAUAGUUGUAAGUAAAAUCACAUAAGACUCAAAGGAAAUUAGUCUGAAUUAAACAAGGAAGACCUCUAUAAUUAGUGCUAUGUGGUUUCAGCAAAAAUGAUCCAAGACACUGUUGUUUCUAUAUGGCAUCCCCUGUCUGUUUUCUGAGCAACACUGGAGUGAAGGGACACUCACUCAUGACUUUAGAUCAGCUUGCUAUUUUCUUAAAACUCUGACCUUUGUGAUAAGAAGAACUUUAUUUGUGGAUUUUAUAUCCUCAACAUAUGCAUCUUCUAUCCAUUCAGUAUUCACUGGAAGUGUUCACCGGUUGAUACACUUGCUAUAAAAUGUAGAAUGUAGUAACAUUCACUGAAACAAAAGCUCUGAUCUCUUCACUCUGUAAUGGGUUGUUUUACUCAAAUACCUUUUUUUCCUCUGUGAAAGCAAUCACACUCUUUACAGCUGAGAAGAAAAAAACAAACACCUCUGACAUCAAUGUAGCCUGUGAGCUCCAAACCCAAAUGGGACUCAAAGUGAACCUGGAGACAGCAGAGGAUCAGUGAACAAAAGUAGACAGCAUUUUUUGUUAAGCAAUCAUUUCAAAUUCUUCUUCCCAUUUUUCAUACUCUGGGAUUUAUAUUUUUAAAAA